UCGGACCUGAUAUCAGGCAAGAUUACCCGGCUGAGCUUAA
rnacentral:rRNA from 1 species